rnacentral:rRNA from 1 species
GUGGGGAAUCUUGCGCAAUGGGCGAAAGCCUGACGCAGCCAUGCCGCGUGAAUGAUGAAGGUCUUAGGAUUGUAAAAUUCUUUCACCGGGGACGAUAAUGACGGUACCCGGAGAAGAAGCCCGGCUAACUUCGUGCCAGCAGCCGCGGUAAUACGAAGGGGGCUAGCGUUGCUCGGAAUUACUGGGCGUAAAGGGCGCGUAGGCGGAUCGUUAAGUCAGGGGUGAAAUCCCAGAGCUCAACUCUGGAACUGCCCUUGAUACUGGCGAUCUUGAGUGUGAGAGAGGUAUGUGGAACUCCGAGUGUAGAGGUGAAAUUCGUAGAUAUUCGGAAGAACACCAGUGGCGAAGGCGACUCACUGGCCCAAUACUGACGCUGAGGCGCGAAAGCGUGGGGAGCAAACAGGAUUAGAUACCCGGGUAGUCC